rnacentral:rRNA from 1 species
UUAAUGAGAGUUUGAUCCUGGCUCAGGACGAACGCUGGCGGCGUGCCUAAUACAUGCAAGUAGAACGCUGAUGUUUGGUGUUUACACUAGACUGAUGAGUUGCGAACGGGUGAGUAACGCGUAGGUAACCUGCCUCAUAGCGGGGGAUAACUAUUGGAAACGAUAGCUAAUACCGCAUAAGAGUAAUUAACACAUGUUAGUUAUUUAAAAGGAGCAAUUGCUUCACUGUGAGAUGGACCUGCGUUGUAUUAGCUAGUUGGUGAGGUAAAGGCUCACCAAGGCGACGAUACAUAGCCGACCUGAGAGGGUGAUCGGCCACACUGGGACUGAGACACGGCCCAGACUCCUACGGGAGGCAGCAGUAGGGAAUCUUCGGCAAUGGACGGAAGUCUGACCGAGCAACGCCGCGUGAGUGAAGAAGGUUUUCGGAUCGUAAAGCUCUGUUGUUAGAGAAGAACGUUGGUAGGAGUGGAAAAUCUACCAAGUGACGGUAA